rnacentral:tRNA from 1 species
GCAGCGGUGGCCGAGUGGCUAAGGCGAUUGACUAGAAAUCAAUUGGGCUCUGCCCGCACAGGUUCGAAUCCUGUCCGCUGCG